rnacentral:rRNA from 1 species
CAGCGCCGCGGUAAUACCAGCCCCGCGAGUGGUCGGGACGGUUAUUGGGCCUAAAGCGCCCGUAGCCGGCCCGGCAAGUCCCUCCUUAAAGCCUCGGGCCCAACCCGAGGACGGGGGGGAUACUGCCGGGCUAGGGGGCGGGAGAGGCCGGCGGUACUCCCGGGGUAGGGGCGAAAUCCGUUAAUCCCGGGAGGACCACCAGUGGCGAAGGCGGCCGGGUGGAACGCGCCCGACGGUGAGGGGCGAAAGCCGGGGGAGCGAACCGGAUUAGAUACCCGGGUAGUCCCGGCUGUAAACGAUGCGGGCUAGCUGUUGGGCGGGCUUAGAGCCCGCCCAGUGGCGCAGGGAAGCCGUUAAGUCCGCCGCCUGGGGAGUACGGCCGCAAGGCUGAAACUUAAAGGAAUUACCGGG